rnacentral:rRNA from 1 species
UAGAGUUUGAUCCUGGCUCAAAAUGAACGUUGGCGGCGUGGAUUAGGCAUGCAAGUCGUACGCUUCAUGUAGCAAUACAUGAAGAGUGGCGUAAGGGAGAGUAAUGCAUGGUUAGCUACCCUCGGGACUGGGAUAGCGGCGGGAAACUGCCGGUAAUACCAGAUGAUGUCUUCGGACCAAUCGUGUGAAACGGCCCAGGGGGGUGACCAUGUCCUAUCAGCUAGUUGGCGGUGUAAUGGACCACCAAGGCAAAGACGGGUAUGGGGCGUGAGAGCGUGCCCCCACUCACUGGGACUGAGACACUGCCCAAACACCUACGGGUGGCUGCAGUCAAGAAUCUCCGGCAAUGGGCGCAAGCCUGACCGAGCGACGCCGCGUGCGGGAUGAAGGCCUUCGGGUUGUAAACCGCUGUCGUAAGGGGAAGAAGACCUUGUGAAGAACAAGGUUUGACCGAUCCUAAGGAGGAAGGGGCCGGCUAAUCUCGUGCCAGCAGCCGCGGUAAUACGAGAGGCCCAAACGUUAUUCAGAAUUACUGGGCUUAAAGAGUUCGUAGGCGGCGCAGAAAGGUAGGGUGGUGACAGCCCUCGGCUCACCCGAGGA